UCUGCCCUCCUAAACUUACUGGAAGUUACUGCAGGCUGCAACUGUAGACUACAAAUCCCAGAGGCACCUGGAAGCAAGAAGAGGAAGUGAAGAGUAAUCCUGCCGAGCCCUGCUGCUGGACUGCAAAUCCCAGAUACCUUGAGGGCAGCAGGAAGAAGAAGUGCCUGCAGCCAUGCUGUAGACCCCCUUGGCUUCUGGCCCAAGCCACUUCAUAUAUAUGGCUGCAUUUCCUGAAUCAAAGAUGGCGAGAUACCUGAUCAUAAAAGGAGAUGAGGCAAGAUACCUAUGGGAGACAUACCCAAGGCCCAUCUGCCCAACCUUAAAAUAUUUCCUUACCUUUGAAGAAAAAUGGCUACAAGUCCUAUAUGAUGGUGUUGAACAUAACAGGAAUGUAUCCAACAGUGGCCAGUAAAACAAAAGGAAGCAACAGUAACUGAGAAAUAUGUUGUCAUUCAAAAAAUAGUUACAUUCCCAAAAUGGUGUGUAUGUGAGUUAGCACAGCCUCGUAAUAGGAAAUGAGAAAGUAACCUUGUUCCAACAUAUUGUGCAAAGCAAUAUAAGUGACAUUUGUUAUUCAUUGUUUAUAUAGUACCAUCAAGGUACAGGGUGCUUUACAUGCAUCUUGUUUUCAUUGUC